GUUGAACGCUGGCGGCGUGCCUAAUACAUGCAAGUCGAGCGAACAGACGAGGAGCUUGCUCCUCUGACGUUAGCGGCGGACGGGUGAGUAACACGUGGAUAACCUACCUAUAAGACUGGGAUAACUUUGGGAAACCGGAGCUAAUACCGGAUAAUAUAUUGAACCGCAUGGUUCAAUAGUGAAAGACGGUUUUGCUGUCACUUAUAGAUGGAUCCGCGCCGCAUUAGCUAGUUGGUAAGGUAACGGCUUACCAAGGCGACGAUGCGUAGCCGACCUGAGAGGGUGAUCGGCCACACUGGAACUGAGACACGGUCCAGACUCCUACGGGAGGCAGCAGUAGGGAAUCUUCCGCAAAGGGCGAAAGCCUGACGGAGCAACGCCGCGUGAGUGAUGAAGGUCUUCGGAUCGUAAAACUCUGUUAUUAGGGAAGAACAAAUGUGUAAGUAACUAUGCACGUCUUGACGGUACCUAAUCAGAAAGCCACGGCUAACUACGUG
rnacentral:rRNA from 1 species